rnacentral:lncRNA from 1 species
GCCAGGGCCUGGCGGCCGCGGCGGGGCUGGGACACGGGCCCGGGGCUGGGCCGUGCGGGCAGGGCCUCGCCUCAGCAGGGCAAGGCCCGGCCUGCCCGGCCCUCACACACACAGAGAUUCCAGCCAGCAAUCCUCGCAGUCUCUCACAACACCCCACUUCUGGAUGUGUUUUGGACUAUGUUUAGGACUAUGACCCAGUCAAAUGUUGGAUUACGGAUGUCUGAUCGACAGCUCUUUAAACAGAGGUUUCUACUGAAGAUUGUUAGCAAGAGUUUAGCAAUUGUUCCUAGCUGUUGAGCUCUGGCCAAAAUAAAAAUGUUCCCUAAAUUAAAAAUGUACCACAAAUGCACCUGGGAUCAGAAACCUAUAUUUCAGGUGUUUUGAAGAGGAAUCAACUUUUAUGGAGGGAAAUGAACUUAUCUACUUGCUUACUUAAUUUCAAAAAUACGGCUCAACAUUCUGACUGACAGACUCUGAGACCUAAAUAAGAGAAUUCUCAGCAAGGAAGCUUCUGUUUUAUUCUUGUUGUCUUUACUUCUCUCUACCAUGGGCACACUGCGUACCACAUCAGAAAUAUGAGCAGACUGGGUUUUUAGCUUUGGAUUUUUUUAGCUUUUUGAUGCAAACUCAUUUGGCAUAAAUGUUUUAUUUCCUGCUUUGCAUUAGCACAAAAGAAGCUGAUGAAAGAAAGAAAGAAAGAAAGAAAGAAAGAAAGAAAGAAAGAAAGAAAG